ACUGUAUAAAUUGAAGCGCUAAAGGUGUUAAAAUUCAAAAUUUUUUAAUCAGUCCUUCAUAAGUCUGCAACGAUGAAUACCGUAACGUAUCUAUUUUUGUUGAUUGCCAUUUUUGCGACUGUCUCGAUCUUUGAUGUCAUGGCUGAAUCAUCAGCUACAGCGGAUGCUGCUUCGCGACCUAAGCGAGACAUUGAUGAAUUUCUAAAAGGUUUAUUCGGCGAUAUA